GACGUAGGGGGCCAGCGUUGUUCGGAAUUACUGGGUGUAAAGGGUUCGUAGGCGGUGCGGCAAGUCGGGAGUGAAAUCUCUGGGCUUAACCCAGAGGCUGCUUCCGAAACUGCUGUGCUUGAGUGUGGGAGAGGCGCGUGGAAUUGCAGGUGUAGCGGUGAAUGCGUAGAUAUCAGGAAGAACACCGUGGCUAAGGCGGCUCUCUAGUUACGGUACUGACGCGAGACGCGAAGCGUGGAGCGAACAGG
rnacentral:rRNA from 1 species